GAUAAUCACACCAUUCAGGAGGCUCAUAUUGUGUGCAGAGAAUAGAAAAGAAAUGGAGGAAUGGAUCAGUUCACUGAAGUCUGUACAGUCGCGAGAACAUUAUGAGACUGCACAGUUUAAUGUGGAACAUUUCUCAGGGAUGCAUAACUGGUACGCCUGCUCCCACGCACGACCAACCUUCUGCAACGUCUGCAGAGAGAGCCUGUCAGGAGUUACUUCCCAUGGCUUGUCGUGUGAAGUAUGCAAAUUUAAGGCUCAUAAAAGAUGUGCUGUUAGGGCAGUGAACAACUGCAAAUGGACUACACUGACUUCGAUUGGAAAA